AGCACGUGCACGCGGCAACGCACAGAAAAACAAGCCCUAGCCUCUUCCUCUCGUCGCCUCCCUCCAGCGAGCCUGUCCCCCACGUUCCAGCCCCCGGCGACCUCCCUCCCACGACCUCUCUCCCUCCAGCGCCGUCUCCAGCGCCCGCGGCGACCUCCAACGGCCUCAGCGUCGCCUCCCUGCCUCCAACGCUGUCUCCAGCGCCGGCCUCCCUCGUCGCCACCCUCCAGCGCCGAUCUCCAGCGCCGUCUCCAGCGUCGCCGUCCUGCACACGCCAACGCACAAAAAAAGCCCUAGCAUCUUCCAACUCCAGCGUCGCCUCCCUCCCUCCAGCGCCGACCUCCCUCGUCGCCUGCGGCCUCCCUCCAGCGCCAUCUCCAGCGUCCUCUCCAGUCGCCUCCCUCCCUCCAGCGCCCUCUCCAGCGUCGACCUCCAGCGCCAACUCCGCACAAAAGCCCUAGCCUCUCAACAUCCAGCACCGCCUCCAACCAGCAUCGCCGACCUCCAGCGCGUCCAGCGCCGCCUCCCUUCAGCAUCACUGACCUCCAGCAACCUCCCGUCCUCCACCUCCAGCGGCCUCUAGCGACCUCGAAUUCGAUUCCAGCGACCUCCGUCCUUGGCACCGUGUGGACAGAGCAAUUUGAAGAUUAUUUAAGCAAUGCAAGCGGUGUUGUGCAUUUGGAACGGAUCUUGAUCUUUGAAGAUCUCUGUCAAAGAUCCAACUGUCAUUGUGCAAAUAAGAAAGAGAACUAAGCACCAACUGGGUUCAAGACAAAAAAUGAACGUAUUUUUUUUAAAGAUAAAGCAAGCACACAGGAGAUCUCGGAACAAGUAAGAAGUCAGAGAAGAGUUGACUUUGUUUCUCACGCUGAUCAGGACGGGCACCAAGAAUAGUUGCUUGGUCUCUGACCUACUCCCAAGCUGCUAGCUCUUUGGCUAUCGAGAUAUAAUGGAUGCUGAUCUAGUGAUGUAUAUCAAUUAUUUACAGCAAAUUUAUAUGAAAUUAACUCAUCUGAGUUUGUAAUUUAUUUCACCAAGAAUUUUCUUGUAGCAUUCUACUAGGAAAUCCCAAAUAAGAUAUUCAAGUCA